rnacentral:tRNA from 1 species
GGGACCGUGGGGUAGUGGUAUCCUCUGGCGUUUGGGACGCUUGGACCCGAGUUCGACUCUCGGCGGUCCCA